rnacentral:tRNA from 23 species
GCCGGCAUAGCUCAGUUGGUAGAGCAGCUGAUUUGUAAUCAGAAGGUCGUGGGUUCGAUUCCUAUUGCCGGCACCA